AUAUUUCUUUGGAUCCUCCUCUUUAUAAGAGAAACAUUACAACAAAUUCCCCUCGACGUCCUACAAUAAUAAUACAACAGUACAAAAAUGGUAUUAUCCCCACUGAUACUAUGUGUUCGCUUACACAGGCACAAUGUGAAGUUGUAGUGUUUCGAGAAUGUCUUUUGACUUUGAUGUAUGUUUCUUCCUCGACUUUAAUGCCAUUUUCAUAAUCCUCAUAAAAGUAACAGUGAUUUAAAAGAAUGAUUUGAAAAGGGCACCAAGCUCUCUAGCUCAGAGGAUGGAUCUGUUACUCGUUAGAAGCUCAGUGGCAGCGUUAUCAAGACGAUAAUUAGACGAGCAACCUUCGUGUAAGCGCAAGGAAACUACAUCAAAGUCCGCUGGGGCCCUGAAACCGGCCGGCUUGUCAGUAGAGGGUGCUAAAGUUUUCUCCUUUCAUAACCCGGCCAACAUCUUGGAAUCAUGCAAUGUCACGCUAUGACAAAUGGAGAUGCAUUACUUAAUUGAAGUGGAGAGUUCAGAGUAGGGUGACACGGGUUGUCCCUUUUAAAAAUUAAAUCAUGGUUAAACAUUCCUCCUUGUCACGACACAAAGGCCGAGUCCAACUCGCUGACUCUCUUGGCGUGAUUGGAUGAAUUCCUCCUCAGUUUUUGUAAUCAAAGCCCUCUCAGCUUCUGACGUAGUUUUGUUGUUAUUCUCCACUCGGUUGACUUAAGGCAACACUCAAAUGUGGUACAUUAGUGGCGGUAAUUCACUGUCGAGGGUGAUUUACAGCUUGGGGUGACUAUUUGGGCCCGUGCAUGUGAAUGCUUUACAGAAGGCAUGUCCUCCGUUUUGUUUUUGUGAUUUGUAUUGUGAGGCUACAAUGGAAAAGAAGCCCCCCCCACAAAAACAUCCAAAGUCUUCAACUUCUCCCUCUUUGGGUGUAUUUGGUUGAGUCCCCGCUGCCAGAAAGCAGGCUGGAUGCUGAGACAGGUGCACAGCGUUCAUCACAUCCCGAUGGAGGACGUUGAGGGCCAAAAUGUUGUCCUCAACAUGUUGGAAGUGUUUGUUACCAGAUGGAGACAUGUGCUGGCAAACGUUACCUCACUUUAUCAAAAAAGAGGGGAAAAAAAUGAUGGAGUGGAAAGAAACUUUUAAUUUGCAAUGGCACGAAGGACAUUGAGAUAGAAAAAGAGAGAGACAUAAUCAAUCGAGUGUUCAUUUUAAUAUUUACAUUGGGAUUAAAUAUAAUCCAUGUAACACCAACCAAAAAAUAAUCUUUAUGCACUUGUCUACUAACUGUCAAUCUAGUUUCAUAGAAAAUGGUUGCGAGACUGUUUAUUUCCAGGAUUUGACCAGAAUAUCCAGCUGCAAAUUGUGCAAAACCACAAGCAGCUUCAGGAUUUUCCCUCAGGAAAUCUUUUUUUAUCCAAUGUCAUACUUCUGAAGCACGUCUUGUCACAUAUGUUCCCCCCCGGCACAAGUCCACUCCUCAAUCUGUGUUUGUAUCACAGCUCUAUUUCUCUUGUAAGGUCAUCCAGCUACAGCUGGCAUCAAUAUGCAUGUGCUUUUUUUUUCUGUCUGAGUCUCGCGCUGGAAAGUUAUAUUCAUUCAGGGCUAAUCAGUUUAAAAGAUAAUGAAAACAGAGAUUGUUUAUGAAGAUUAGGCCCUUGGAAAUGGAGUAAUCAGUGCUUUGAAAGGGCACUGACAGCGGUGGGCUGGAUUACUGUCCACAGAAAGUGAGCAACGGCGCUCUAACUCUCCAUCACUAACAAGCUCUCAAAGCCCUGAUGUCAUCACAGAUAGAAGAUAGAGUACCUUCUCCUCCACUCCUCUCCAUUUGCUCCUCUUUUGCAGGAAUGAAA
ensembl:lncRNA